rnacentral:lncRNA from 1 species
CGUGAAAGGUUGCUGGAAUUUAAAUUAAAUUUAUAAUCAAUGCUAAAAGCUUGUGAAAUACUAGAACUCUUUUCUUAAUAAUCGCACUUUGUCACUUUUGGCCUGGUGAGCUUAAAAGGAGAUAUUGGCAAUUUGUAAAUUUUAUAUACACAGUUAUACAUAUUUUCCUGGAUUGAAAAAAAAACCAAACUAAUCAUAAUGCAUCUCGUUUGAAUUGUUUUAUCAUUUGUAAUUUCGGGGCCUUUCAUAUAGCAGACUAUGCUGCACGAAUUUUACUCAUAGUUGAAAGUCGUAUCAUGACCUUUAUAGAUAUAAGGAGAUAACAUAUGAUUGCCAAUGAGACAACUCUCCAUUAAAGUCAUAAUUUUUAAAGAUAAACCAUUGAAGGUCAAAGUACAGUCUUAUAUGUACCAUUUACUAGUUUUCUGGAUCUUGAGUUGAUUAAGAGAGCAUGAAACUAAAAAGACUCAAUGUGUCAGUGGCAACUCAGGUGCAGAUCCAGAGGGGGGAGGGGGUCUGGGGGUUUGUUGGACGAACAAUGCAUUUGAAUGGGGACAUGUAAUUGGACCCCCCCCCCUUUUGUCCUGGGUUAGGACCCCCUCCCCCUUUUUUAAAAUGGCUGGAUCCGCCCCUGCAACUAUUUGAUACCCUUUGAUAAUUUGAUUCACUUCAUGUCAAACCAC